AUGACCAAACCAUUUCAUCAAACCACAUUUAGUACAAUGCCUGGGGCGUUCGUGACAUUGAUGUACCAUAUAACUGGAAUUAACCCAUGCAAGUCGAAGAAGGAUUGGCCGGUGCUGCCGGCUGGCGUCAAGUUCGAUCCCACGGAUCAGGAGCUGAUCGAGCACCUUGAGGCCAAAGUGAGUGCAUACAGCGCGAGAUCUCACCCUCUCAUUGAUUUGUUCAUACCAACCAUCGACAGCGAGCACGGCAUAUGCUACACCCAUCCUAAGAAACUUCCAGGUAUCACACUGAGUGGCCUAAGCAAGCAUUUCUUCCAGCACAAUUCCAGGGUGUUCAAAAGGGGCACGUGUACGCGUCGCAAGACACAGUCGGAGUGCGGCAUGCAUGCGAUGUGGUACAACACCAGAAAUACCUUGCCGGUGAUGGUUAACGGCCGGCAGACGGGCAGCAAAAAGGUUCUUGUGCUACACACCAACAAGAACUUCGACCAGCAGAGGACCAACUGGGUGAUGCACUAG
rnacentral:rRNA from 1 species